rnacentral:rRNA from 1 species
UGGGGAAUUUUGGACAAUGGGCGAAAGCCUGAUCCAGCAAUGCCGCGUGUGUGAAGAAGGCUUUCGGGUUGUAAAGCACUUUUGUCCGGAAAGAAAUCCUUGGCUCUAAUACAGUCGGGGGAUGACGGUACCGGAAGAAUAAGCACCGGCUAACUACGUGCCAGCAGCCGCGGUAAUACGUAGGGUGCAAGCGUUAAUCGGAAUUACUGGGCGUAAAGCGUGCGCAGGCGGUUUGCUAAGACCGAUGUGAAAUCCCCGGGCUCAACCUGGGAACUGCAUUGGUGACUGGCAGGCUAGAGUAUGGCAGAGGGGGGUAGAAUUCCACGUGUAGCAGUGAAAUGCGUAGAGAUGUGGAGGAAUACCGAUGGCGAAGGCAGCCCCCUGGGCCAAUACUGACGCUCAUGCACGAAAGCGUGGGGAGCAAACAGGAUUAGAUACCCUGGUAGUCCACGCCCUAAAACGAUGUCAACUAGUUGUUGGGGAUUCAUUUCCUUAGUAACGUAGCUAACGCGUGAAGUUGACCGCCUGGGGAGUACGGUCGCAAGAUUAAAACUUAAAGGAAUUGACGGGGUCAUAGCUGUUUCCU